rnacentral:rRNA from 1 species
AGUGAACGCUGGCGGUAGGCCUAACACAUGCAAGUCGAACGGCAGCACAGUAAGAGCUUGCUCUUACGGGUGGCGAGUGGCGGACGGGUGAGGAAUACAUCGGAAUCUACUUUUUCGUGGGGGAUAACGUAGGGAAACUUACGCUAAUACCGCAUACGACCUAUGGGUGAAAGCAGGGGAUCUUCGGACCUUGCGCGAUUGAAUGAGCCGAUGUCGGAUUAGCUAGUUGGCGGGGUAAAGGCCCACCAAGGCGACGAUCCGUAGCUGGUCUGAGAGGAUGAUCAGCCACACUGGAACUGAGACACGGUCCAGACUCCUACGGGAGGGAGCAGUGGGGAAUAUUGGACAAUGGGCGCAAGCCUGAUCCAGCCAUACCGCGUGGGUGAAGAAGGCCUUCGGGUUGUAAAGCCCUUUUGUUGGGAAAGAAAAGCAGCAGGUUAAUACCCCGCUGUUCUGACGGUACCCAAAGAAUAAGCACCGGCUAACUUCGUG